rnacentral:misc_RNA from 1 species
GGCGCGCCUUUAAUAACUAUGAUCUAUACUUAGAAUGAUUAUGCACUGUUCUGUGUUUUUUUAUCUCUUUGGCUGCAGAGCCUCUCUAUGAUAUCUGAUGUGAUAUUUUUCUAGUUCACUUUCAAGGGAAAAGACUUGAAAAUGAACUAAACUUUUCUAAAUUUCUGCCUCCAUGGCUACAUCUGCAAUAUACAGAUCUAAUUAUUGAAAUCCUUUGGAAAAAACUCAACUCAACUCAACU